rnacentral:rRNA from 1 species
CGCGGCCUAUCAGCUUGUUGGUGAGGUAAUGGCUCACCAAGGCGACGACGGGUAGCCGGCCUGAGAGGGUGACCGGCCACACUGGGACUGAGACACGGCCCAGACUCCUACGGGAGGCAGCAGUGGGGAAUAUUGCACAAUGGGCGAAAGCCUGAUGCAGCGACGCCGCGUGAGGGAUGACGGCCUUCGGGUUGUAAACCUCUUUCAGUAGGGAAGGAGCGAAAGUGACGGUACCUGCAGAAGAAGCACCGGCUAACUACGUGCCAGCAGCCGCGGUAAUACGUAGGGUGCGAGCGUUAUCCGGAAUUAUUGGGCGUAAAGAGCUCGUAGGCGGUUCGUCGCGUCUGUCGUGAAAGUCCGGGGCUUAACCCCGGAUCUGCGGUGGGUACGGGCAGACUAGAGUGCAGUAGGGGAGACUGGAAUUCCUGGUGUAGCGGUGGAAUGCGCAGAUAUCAGGAGGAACACCGAUGGCGAAGGCAGGUCUCUGGGCUGUAACUGACGCUGAGGAGCGAAAGCAUGGGGAGCGAACAGGAUUAGAUACCCUGGUAGUCCAUGCCGUAAACGUUGGGCACUAGGUGUGGGGACCAUUCCACGGUUUCCGCGCCGCAGCUAACGCAUUAAGUGCCCCGCCUGGGGAGUACGG